CCUACGGGAGGCAGCAGUGGGGAAUCUUGCGCAAUGGGCGAAAGCCUGACGCAGCAACGCCGCGUGCGGGAAGAAGGCUUUCGGGCUGUAAACCGCUUUCAGCAGGAACGAAAAUGACGGUACCUGCAGAAGAAGGAGCGGCCAACUAUGUGCCAGCAGCCGCGGUGAUACAUAGGCUUCAAGCGUUGUCCGGAUUUAUUGGGCGUAAAGAGUUCGUAGGCGGUCGAGUAAGUCGGGUGUGAAAAUUCUGGGCUCAACCCAGAGACGCCACCCGAUACUGCUUAACUUGAGUUCGAUAGGGGAGUGGGGAAUUCCUAGUGUAGCGGUGAAAUGCGCAGAUAUUAGGAGGAACACCGGUGGCGAAGGCGCCACUCUGGAUCGAUACUGACGCUGAGGGACGAAAGCAUGGGUAGCAAACAGGAUUAGAUACCCUGGUAGUCCAUGCCGUAAACGGUGGGCACUAGGUGUGGGAUUCUAUUAACGAAUUCCGCGCCGUCGCUAACGCAUUAAGUGCCCCGCCUGGGGAGUACGGUCGCAGACUAAACUACAAGAAGUAGACGCGNGAGACGUGCCGACGACGACGACGAGGGAGAGG
rnacentral:rRNA from 1 species